rnacentral:rRNA from 1 species
UACGGGGGGUGCGAGCGUUGUCCGGAAUCACUGGGCGUAAAGGGUGCGUAGGUGGUUUGAUAAGGGUGUGGUGAAAGUCCGGGGCUCAACCCCGGAUCUGCCGUGCCGACUGUCAAACUCGAGGACUGUAGAGGCAGACGGAAUUCCGGGUGUAGCGGUGGAAUGCGUAGAGAUCCGGAGGAAGACCGGUGGCGAAGGCGGUCUGCUGGGCAGUUUCUGACACUGAGGCGCGACAGCGUGGGGAGCAAACAGG